rnacentral:rRNA from 1 species
GACGAACGCUGGCGGCGUGCUUAACACAUGCAAGUCGAACGAUGAAGCUAGAGCUUGCUCUGGUGGAUUAGUGGCGAACGGGUGAGUAACACGUGAGUAACCUGCCCCGAACUCUGGGAUAACUGCUGGAAACGGUAGCUAAUACCGGAUAUGACCAAUGAAGGCAUCUUCUGUUGGUGGUAAGAAUUUCGGUUCGGGAUGGACUCGCGGCCUAUCAGCUUGUUGGGGAGGUAACGGCUCACCAAGGCGACGACGGGUAGCCGGCCUGAGAGGGUGAUCGGCCACACUGGGACUGAGACACGGCCCAGACUCCUACGGGAGGCAGCAGUGGGGAAUAUUGCACAAUGGGCGCAAGCCUGAUGCAGCAACGCCGCGUGAGGACGACGGCCUUCGGGUUGUAAACCUCUUUUAGUAGGGAAGAAGCGAAAGUGACGGUACCUGCAGAAAAAGCACCGGCUAACUACGUGCCAGCCGCCGCCGUAA